rnacentral:lncRNA from 1 species
UCUGUAUUCAGGGACUCUAAAACUGUGGAAUACAUAGUUAAAUCCUGAAUCUGUGUUCAAAGGGAAAGCUAUGAAAGCCCAAUCUAUUUUCUUCUAGUUCCUAGCAUUAAUUAGAUGUUUCAGGUGUUUGCUUUAUUUUCAGUCACGUCUUGAUACUGACAAGUUGAACGAAUGUAGAAGUUUCUUUCGUUGAUCCUUUGUAGACUUCAAAGGGGGAAAAAACGCAGGGAUCCAGAAAGUUCUUGACUUUCCCCUUUUUCAAAUUAGCUUUUCCAUUUUAAAAACCCAUUUCCCUCAGAAAUUUCUAGAAAAACAAUCUUUUGCGUGUACACAUUUUGCUUUAUAAUUCUUGUAAUAAACACGUGAUUUAUCCACGAUUUUGUGAAAAACACAUAACUUUAACUGUGAUUUUGCAAAACGACCAAAAACGCAACUCUGCCAGCCGUGUCGUGUUCACGUGGUCAAGAAGUUUUUGCACCCAUGGAAAAAGUUUCUUCCCUGUCGUCCACUGCUAAUGUUCUUUAAUUUACUGUUACAUAUCAUCCUUUUAGAGGGAAAUUAAAUAUUGUAACUGUCAAAAAUUUUAAUCAAAAGUUUUCACACAAAAAAACACCACCAUGUAAAGAUUUUUACUGCUGAAAGUAAAUUACAUAUCAUACUCGUUCAAUGUUGAAUUUAUAAUACAGUCCUGUACAACUCACUUUUGUCAACUGAAAAUUCUAGUUUUGAGAAUUUAAUGAUGAUGAUUGAUUCUACUUCUACUUUUGAAUGCUGUUUACGUAAUUAGGUAUGAUUCUCUUGCAGCCUAAUAUGCUCUGCUACAAAGAAGAGAUUUUGGACCAGUUUUAAUAUGUUUAAAUGUUGACACCUUAGACGAAGCCAUAGCUAUAAUUAAUGCAAACCCUACGGAAACGGCACAGCUCUCUUCACCACAAACGGUGCAGCAGCUCGUAAAUUCACUUUUGAAGCAGACUGUGGACAGGUUGGUAUCAAUGUUCCCAUCCCAGUGCCCUUAUCAAUGUUCUCAUUUACGGGAUCUAGAGGUUCGUUCCGAGGAGACACCCACUUCUAUGGUCAGCAGGGUAUUGACUUCUACACUGAGACAAAAACCGUCACACAGCUGUGGCGAGAAAAGAUGUAACUCACAGUCAAGCCUCUGUUUCUAUGCCUGUCAUGCGAUGAUUAUCUUACCUUGUACAAGUAAAUUUUACUUGAAGUAA